ACGGGAGGCAGCAGUGGGGAAUAUUGCACAAUGGGGGAAACCCUGAUGCAGCGACGCCGCGUGAGUGAAGAAGUAUUUCGGUAUGUAAAGCUCUAUCAGCAGGGAAGAUAAUGACGGUACCUGACUAAGAAGCACCGGCUAAAUACGUGCCAGCAGCCGCGGUAAUACGUAUGGUGCAAGCGUUAUCCGGAUUUACUGGGUGUAAAGGGUGCGUAGGUGGUAUGGCAAGUCAGAAGUGAAAUGCGGGGGCUCAACCCCUGAACUGCUUUUGAAACUGUCAAACUAGAGUGCAGGAGAGGCAAGCGGAAUUCCUAGUGUAGCGGUGAAAUGCGUAGAUAUUAGGAGGAACACCAGUGGCGAAGGCGGCUUACUGGACGAUAACUGACGCUGAGGCUCGAAAGCGUGGGGAGCAAACAGGAUUAGAUACCCUGGUA
rnacentral:rRNA from 1 species